GCCGAAGUGGUGAAAUUGGUAGACACGCUACCUUGAGGGGGUAGUGGGCUUAAGCCCGUGCGAGUUCGAGUCUCGCCUUCGGCA
rnacentral:tRNA from 1 species